AGCAUUAACAAGUGGUUCUGUGAAUGUGGUUUCCCUCCCCCUUAUUCCAUCUGGAGUGGAAGACAUUUACGAUACCCGCUCAACUUGAGCUUCACUCUGAUUAACUUGUACAGGUGGUGACUUACAAAUCCCUUCUUCGGUAGCUACGUCUACCCGCUCGCCGGUAUUCUUACUUUCGGUAUCCGGCAUUCUUACUGUAAUAAGAGAAACAAAUGGAUUCAGUGGCCAACUAUGACUUCGUUUGCUAUAUAAACUCUAUGGCACGAUCUAUGAUCUGAAUAAAAGAAAUAAUUUCCUACAUGUCCAUAGCCUUCUGUUUAUAGAUGUGGUGCACAACACACCGAUAAACAAGACUCUACGUAGACACGGCUUUGUAGACUCACUAGGACGAACCUCUCUGAUACCACUUUUGUCACGCCCCAAAAUCCCAUCGGGACGGACUGACACCCAAAGCCGAGAAGGCCCGGGAGAACCCGUUUAGAUACCUGUACUUUCACUUACAUGUCACCAAAAAUUUAGACAGCACUUCGUUGCAUAUAGAAGGGUCUAAUUACCUGUAUCAGCACAACACGCACAAAUAUAUAUAUAUACAUAUAAUACUUGGCCGUCGGGGCCACCACAUAUACAAAUAUAACAUCACUAUAUAAACUUCCAUGACUUUACCCUUCCUUAUGUCUACAAAGCCUCUAGGAUAUACAUGACAUAACUAGGGUCGGGACAAACCCCCGCCCACACAUGACUCAUGUACAAUAACAAAACAUAAGGAACCGACUCGGAAAGCUCCGAAGCAAACUGGAGCUCACCAACAAUAGCUGUAUGACCUGGCUCCUACUUGUGCGGUGUAUGAGCUGAGGUACCUGUGCCUGCAGCAUGAAAUGCAGGUCCCCCGUGAGGGACGUCAGUACGAAAUAUGUACUGAGUAUGUAAAGCUGUAAAUAAUCACAUAUGAUAUAGGAGCUCAAUAGAAAUCAGAAACAAGUGAAUAAGUCGUAAUAGGAGUGGACCACACUUACUAGAACUUGUGACAACCUGUACAUUGUAUUUAUUCAAUCACUUUACCUUCGUUCUUAUCGUCUUUGUAAUCAUUACUGUACUGUACUGUGACCAUUAGGAUGCCUCCAGUACAUAUCAACUGGGAUCGACCCAUGCUAGGCUUAUGCCCCUGGGAUACCACCCAUAAACACAUGAAAUAGGGAUCGACCCAUGCUAGGCUUAUGCCCCUGGGAUACCACCCGAUAAGAGAGAACUCCCAUCACUUAGUUCAAUUAAUCUUUGAGAUUGUUAUUUCGGUCGCCACCACAUUUUUGAUACUUUGAAACAAUGAUACAUCAAUAGGAACCAAGUAAUAGACCUUCUAUACAAUAACGAUGUAAUAAAGACUCAUUGGUACAUCAACAAUGUGUUUCAGAAUCAUCAAUAUCACAACAAUGAAAUAAGAGCCUUUUGGUAUAUCAAUGAAACAUUUUGACACUUUAUAGAAUGGAAACAACUUCGUUGGUAACGUAGAACAAUACAUGUUUUUGGACAACCUCGGAAUCUUACUUGAUGGAACAUUGGUGUUUUCAUGCCAAAGAACAUUGUUAGAGUAUGCUUUACAUACCUCGUUGUAGAUUCAGAUACCAAUUCAACACAACUUCCCGCCUUUACAAAUCACUUAUCUACAAUGAAAUGUUUGGCAUCUAGUAUUAGCAACCCAACACCACAAUUCUCUUCCAUAAUUCCAUACUACCAAUAUUUGCAAAACAUUCCAAAAACCAACUUGAACAAUAGGUUUAUGUGUGUAUAUAUAUAUAAUCAUCAUUUCAAUACCACAUCAUCAAUACCACAUCAUCACCCCAAAUUCCUUCACAAUUUAACAUAAUCCAACCAUGCACAAGAAUAAUCCAACAUCAUUUCCAAUCAUCUUUCAACAACAAUCAAAUAACAUACUUCUUAUGCUCACAUGCAUAUAUAUAUAUACAUAUCCAUAUAAAUAACACCAACAUAAUUUACAUCCUUACCAAAAAAAUGGCCCUUUUGAUUUCGAAGUCCUGUUGGCACAAAUAAGGGGUGCUUCUCGAAGCCCUUGAGACGGUGAACACAACUACGGAAUCAAUUUGGAUUUUCUACGGUUGAAUCACAAGAUAAUUGGAGUUGAAAUUUGGCUAGGGUUUCUUAGUUUUCAAUAAUGGAUGAUAAAUAAUGGAUAUGAGGCUAAGUAUAUGUAUAUAAUGACCAAUUUUCGUUCAAGAGGUGAUGGAAAAUGACCAUAUUGCCCUUAAAAAUUUAAGUAAAUCCGAAUCUGUCCAUGGUGGACUGUUUUGAUAGGCUAAAGUAAAUCGGCCAUAACUCUUUGCUCCGAUAUCGGAUUUGGGUGAAAUUGGUAUCGUUAGAAAGAUAAUUCAAAGGUAUUUCAUUUAAUAUAAAUUAAUCCACCCAGUUCGUCCUGUACAAGUAGUUAUGAUCGUUUGAAGUUGACCCUAAAAAUCUGUUUUGAGAGGCUGAAGUAAAACGAGUAUAACUCCUUACUCAGAUGUUGGAUUUGGAUGAAACCAAUUUCAUUGGAAAGAAGACUCAAAGAUCUUUCUUUUGAUAUAUGGUAGCUCAACCAGUUCAUUAUAUUGAGGGAGUUAUGAUCGUUCAAAGUUGACCCAAAAAACUGGCAGGCCUCAGUAGUUUCCUGCACAUUUUACUGUUCACAUCCCGGCCACCGUUUUAAAGUUUCGAACGAGCUCGCUUAUAUCCGAAACUUAUCCGUUUUUGGAAAUCUUUAUAUCGUUGGAAAGCUUAUUCAAUAACCUUCGUAUGGAACCAUCGACGGGAAAAUUCCGAUAUAAAUAAAGUCGAUUCCUAUACACCUAUAAUCAAACUAUACACUUGAAACCAUCUCAAAAUAAUCAAUACUCAUACUUAAACUCAUAUAUACCUAACUUAGGAUCAAUACAUAUACCCCAACACAUAUAACAAUGACUAAUGCACGUAAUUAAGUACGGGGUGUUACAUCCUUCCCCCCUUAAGGACAUUCGUCCUCGAAUGUGAAUGUAGUUAUUUAGCCGAAACAAGUUCAAGUCCACCAUUAACAUUCACAUCAUCACAUAAAUACUAUGCAUAUAUAAACAAAAACUUACUUGUUAAUGUUCUAACUCCGUUUCUUGAACUUCCUCUUCAUCUUUGAACAAAUGAGGGUACUUAGAUUUCAUUGCUUCCUCAGCUUCCCAUGUAAUCUCUUCCCUUUGUUGAUUUCUCCAAAGUACCUUUACUGAUGCCAUUUCUUUGUUCCUUAACUUUUUAACUUGGCGAUCUAGAAUAGCAACCGGUACCUCUUCAUAAGUAAGAUCCUCUGUGACCUGUACAUCUUCUAUAGGAGUGAUACGAGAGGGGUCACCUAUGCAUUUUCGAAGCAUUGACACAUGAAACACUGGAUGAACCAUUGAAAGUUCCUGGGGUAGCUCUAAUUCAUAUGCAACUUGUCCGACCCUCUUGGUAAUCUUAUAUGGCCCUAUGUAACGUGGGCUUAGUUUCCCUUUUUUACCAAAUCUCAUAACCCCUUUCAUUGGUGAUACCUUUAAAAAUACCCAAUCUCCAAUAGAGAAUUCCAGCCCUCUUCUCCGAAUAUCUGCAUAUGAUUUAUGACGACUUUGGGCUGUUUUUAGCCGUUGUUGUAUCACCUUGACUUUUUCUAUGGCUUGAUACACAAGAUCCGGUCCGAACAUAAGAGUUUCACCCGCUUCGAACCAUCCUAUUGGUGAUCUACACUUUCUCCCAUAUAAAGCUUCAUAUGGUGCCAUUUUGAUACUUGAAUGAUAGCUAUUAUUGUAGGCAAACUCAAUAAGAGGUAAAUGAUCAUCCCAGCUGCCUUUAAAAUCUAUAACACAUGCUCGUAGCAUAUCUUCAAGUGUUUGAAUGGUGCGCUCUGCUUGUCCAUCCGUCUGAGGGUGAAACCCACCUUCGUUGCCUCAGAUUUAGAUCCUUCUGACUAAAAAUAUAUUGUAAGCUCUUGUGAUCAGUAUAUAUAUCAACAUGAACCCCAUAUAAAUAGUGGCGCCAUAUUUUUAAAGCAAAGAUAACCGCUGCCAGCUCAAGAUCAUGUCUGGGGUAAUUUUUCUCAUGUGGCCUCAAUUGUCUUGAGGCAUAUGCUAUCACUUUGCCAUGCUGCAUUAAUACACAUCCUAAACCAAUUCUCGAAGCAUCAAAAUACACUGUAUACCCUUCUGUACCUUUUGGAAGUACCAACACAGGUGUAGAAGUCAACUUAUUCUUCAAUUCUUGGAAACUCUCCUCACACGCAUCAUUCCAUUGGAACUUGGAUGCUUUAUGCGUUAGCUUAGUUAAGGGUGCUGAAAUAGAAGAAAAACCCUCAACAAACUUUCUAUAAUAACCAGCCAACCCAAGAAAACUACGAAUCUCCGUAGGCGUUGUGGGCCUUGGCCAAUUCUUCACAGCUUCUAUCUUUUGAGUAUCAACCUGUAUGCCUUCAAUCACGAAGAGUUUGCAACGCCUGUCGCAAAUGAUUAGCAUGAUCCUCUUCUGAUCUAGAAUAAACUAGAAUAUCAUCAAUGAAAACUAUCACGGAUACAUCUAGAAAUGGCUUAAACACCCUAUUCAUUAAAUCCAUGAAAGCUGCAGGUGCAUUAGUUAGCCCAAAUGACAUAACUAGAAACUCAUAAUGACCAUACCUUGUUCGGAAAGCUGUUUUGGGUAUAUCUUUUUCUUUGACUCUCACUUGAUGAUAACCUGACCUCAAAUCAAUCUUAGAAAAACAUUUGGCACCCUGUAACUGAUCAAAUAAAUCAUCAAUUCUUGGAAGAGGAUAUUUAUUUUUAAGAGUCACUUUAUUCAGCUGCCUAUAAUCAAUACACAUUCUCAAUGUGCCAUCUUUCUUGCGCACAAACAGCACUGGUGCUCCCCAAGGGGAAAUACUAGGCCUAAUGAAUCCCUUUUCUAGCAAAUCUUUCAAUUGCUCUUUCAAUUCUCGUAAUUCUGCCGGGGCCAUCCUAUACGGAGGAAUUGAGAUUGGCUUAGUGCCUGGUAUCACAUCAAUACCAAAUUCUACUUCUCGUUCAGGAGGUAAACCUGGAAGAUCUUCAGGGAAUACAUCAAGAAAUUCACUUACUACUGGUAUAGUGUGAAGAUCUGGUGAUUCCGAUUCCGUAUCCUUUACUCUAACUAAAUGACAUAUGUAGCCCUUGGAAAUCAUUUUUCUCACUUUGAAAUAAGAAAUAAAUCUACCUCUUGGUGCGCCAAUCUUACCUUGCCAUUCAAUAACUGCUUCAUUAGGAAAAUGUAAAUACAUCUUUUUCGUACAACAGUCAAUUUUGACAUAACAAGACGCCAACCAAUCCAUACCCAUUAUAACAUCAAAAUCUACCAUUUCUAGUUCCACAAGAUUGGCCAUCGUGUCUCGACCACACACAGUUACUACACAAUCUUUAUAAACUUUUCUAGCAAUAAUAGAUUCCCCAACCGGGGUAGACACUUCCAAUGGCUUAUCUUACAAUUCGGGGGUUCUUUUGAACUUUUUAGCAACCAAAGGAGUAACAUAUGAUAAUGUAGAACCCGGAUCAAUUAAGGCAUAUACAUCAAAUGAAAAUAUGGGCAACGUACCCGUAACCACAUCUGGGGAAGCCUCUAGAUUCUGUCGAUCCACUAAAGCAUAAGUGUGAUCCUGAGUCCCGCUGGAACUUACGACUCCUUUUUCAUUUCUAGCGUCACCCGUAGGUUAUGCGCCUCUACCAGAAUAAGAUACCGGUGACGAUGAUGCAACAGCUGAUCCCGAAGGUCGUGCUACGCCACCUGCGCCCCUUCGUGGGCAUUCUCUCAUCAUAUGCCCCGUCAUACCGCACCAAAAACAAACAUUUGUUCCCAUUCGUCAUACGCCCAUAUGAUGCUUUCCGCAUCGAUUACAUAGCUCUUGAGAAGGUCUCGAUUGGCUCAUGUUCCCUUGCCCAUGAUAACCCACUGAUCGCGAACUAUGACUCUCACUUCUUUGCCCAAAUUGACUACCUCUGAACCCCUGAUGCUGUGGUGAAGCACUAGCUGCAGAAUAAGAAAAUAAUGGCCUAGGUGGUCUAGCAGAAAAUUGAGGUCUAAAACCUCCCUGUGGCGCCAUAAACUGCCCUGUAGAUCUGGACCUCUUAGAAGAUCCGCUUUCAAAUAACUGUGUUCUUUUUCUUUGCCUCUGAUCUUCCAUUUUCUGUGCAAAUGCUUGGAUCCUAGCUAUAUCCAUGUCUUUAUUCAGUGCAGCAAUAGUACAAUCCCUAACCAAAUACGGAUCCAAUCCAUCCACAUACCGAUGAACUCUGUCAUCCAUAGUAGCUAUAACAUUAGGAGCAUAUCUGGACAAGGAAUUAAAUCNNNNNNNNNNNNNNNNNNNNNNNNNNNNNNNNNNNNNNNNNNNNNNNNNNNNNNNNNNNNNNNNNNNNNNNNNNNNNNNNNNNNNNNNNNNNNNNNNNNNNNNNNNNNNNNNNNNNNNNNNNNNNNNNNNNNNNNCAACCAUUUCAGUUCUUCAUACCAAUAUAUAGCCUCACCUUUGAAUCUAUACGCGGCUAACUCCACUGUCUCUCUGCCCGAUACAUGCAUCACCUCUAGGGCCCUUUGGAUCUGAUCAAUAAAGUCCUGUGGAUCUUCGUUAAAAUCGAAUACGGUAAAAGUAGGCGGAUCCAUCUUAAGAAAAUCUUGCGUCCGAAGACUAGCCGCCCUAUCAGUACCGCUAGGACCCGCGACAGGAAUAGCUUGCCCUUGGACUUGACCGGCAACAAUCCGGGUCAACAGUUGUACUGCAUCCCUCAUAUCCUGAUCAGCAGCAUUAACAAGUGGUUCUGUGAAUGUGGUUUGCCUCCCCCUUAUUCCAUCUAGAGUGGAACACAUUUCAGAUACCCGAUCAACUUGAGCUUCACUCUGAUUAACUUGUACAGGUGGUGACUUACUAGUCCCUUCUCCGACAGCUACGUCUACCCGCUUGCCGGUAUUCUUACUUUCGGUAUCCGGCAUUCUUACUGUAAUAAGAGAAACAAAUGGAUUCAGUGGCCAACUAUGACUUCGUUUGCUAUAUAAACUCUAUGGCACGAUCUAUGAUCUGAAGAAAAAAAACAAUUUCCUAAAUGUCCAUAGCCUCNNNN
rnacentral:lncRNA from 1 species